UACAGAGGGUGCAAGCGUUGUUCGGAAUUAUUGGGCGUAAAGGGCGCGUAGGCGGUGCUGUAAGUCUGUGGUGAAAUCUCUGGGCUCAACUCAGAGUCUGCCAUAGAAACUGCAGUGCUGGAGUGUGGGAGAGGUGAGUGGAAUUCCCGGUGUAGCGGUGGAAUGCGCAGAUAUCAGGAGGAACACCGGUGGCGAAGGCGGAUCUCUGGGCCUUACCUGACGCUGAGGCGCGAAAGCUAGGGGAGCGAACAGG
rnacentral:rRNA from 1 species